rnacentral:rRNA from 1 species
CCUACGGGAGGCAGCAGUGGGGAAUAUUGCACAAUGGGCGAAAGCCUGAUGCAGCGACGCCGCGUGAGGGAUGAAGGCCUUCGGGUUGUAAACCUCUUUCAGUAGGGAAGAAGCGAAAGUGACGGUACCUGCAGAAGAAGCGCCGGCUAACUACGUGCCAGCAGCCGCGGUAAUACGUAGGGCGCAAGCGUUGUCCGGAAUUAUUGGGCGUAAAGAGCUCGUAGGCGGUUUGUCGCGUCUGGUGUGAAAACUCAAGGCUCAACCUUGAGCUUGCAUCGGGUACGGGCAGACUAGAGUGCGGUAGGGGUGACUGGAAUUCCUGGUGUAGCGGUGGAAUGCGCAGAUAUCAGGAGGAACACCGAUGGCGAAGGCAGGUCACUGGGCCGCAACUGACGCUGGGGAGCGAAAGCAUGGGGAGCGAACAGGAUUAGAUACCCUGGUAGUCCAUGCCGUAAACGUUGGGCACUAGGUGUGGGGCUCAUUCCACGAGUUCCGUGCCGCNGCAACGACAUAGUGCCCGCCGUCGGGAGGUACGGCCGCGACGGACGUAAACGUACGAAGGAAGUUAGACGGCGUGAGACGUGCCGACGGACGACGACGAGGGAGGAGG